CUUGGUCAUUUAGAGGAAGUAAAAGUCGUAACAAGGUCUCCGUAGGUGAACCUGCGGAGGGAUCAUUAAUGAAAGGCCCGAUGGGCCUCCGACCCUCAAACCCGUGGAGGCGAGCGGUGGUUUGACGCCUUGACGUCGCCCUUAUGAAGCCCGUGAGCCCCGUGUCUGAAUGUAAAUCGAGUUCAAAACUUUCAACAAAGGAUCUCUUGGCUCUUGCAUCGAUGAAGAACGCAGCGAAGCGCGAAAUGUAGUGUGAAUCGCAGAACAUUGUGAAUCAUCGAAUCUUUGAACGCACAUUGCGCCCCCCUUAACGGGGGGGCAUGCCUGUCUGAGCGUCAUCUAGACCCAUGAAACCCGGCUCGGGGUUCGUGUUGGGCCCCGCCUCAGGGCGUCGCCUCAAAUGGAUCGGUCUUUUGAGCGGAUGAGACCCAUUGGGGGCGGCCGUUUGAAGACAGUAAUCAUCGGACUUGACCUCAGAUCAGGUAGGACUACCGCCUGAACUUAAGCAUAUCAAUAAGGCGAGGAACAGAAACCAACAGGGAUUCCCCCAGUAGUGGCGAACGAAGAGGGAGAAGCUCAAAGUUUGAAAUCUGAAGGCGCUCGCCCUCAGAGUUGUAAGCUGAAGAGGCAUUGACCGGUGUGGCCUGGGCUCAAUUUCCUUGGAACAGGAAGUCAUGGAGGGUGAGAACCCCGUCUGUGGCCCGGCGCCCAUCACCCUAGCGUCAUGCCCUNGAAGAGUCGGGUUGUUUGGGAAUGCAGCUCAAAAUGGGUGGUAAAUUUCAUCUAAGGCUAAAUACCGGCGAGAGACCGAUAGUGAACAAGUAGAGUGAUCGAAAGAUGAAAAGUACUUUGAAAAGAGAGUGAGACAGUACGUGAAAUUGUUGAAAGGGAAGCGUUUGGCAUCAGCCCAUGAGGUCCAUCGAUCAUCCCGGCCUGGGCCGGGUGCGCUCGUUGGAUUUCGGGCCAGCGUCGGCUCCGCUCGCUGGAGAAGGCUUUGGGGAAUGUGGCUCCCUCGAUGGAGUGUUAUAGACCCGCUGCCAUGCAGUGAAGGGGGGCCGAGGUCCGCGGUCAUAGACCUAUGGACGCUGGCGUAAUGGUUCCAACGCGAGCCCGUCUUGAAACACGGACC
rnacentral:rRNA from 1 species